AAUUCAAUGAUUUCAAUUUUACCGCUGACCAGCCACGCCUUAGAGCCCUAGAGUUUUUCCCCAUUUCCGCCUGCCGAAGCGUCUAUUAAUGAUCCC